CUGCUAAUACCGCAUAAGGCCACAGCACCGCAUGGUGCAGGGGUAAAAACUCCGGUGGUGUGAGAUGGGCCCGCGUCUGAUUAGGUAGUUGGUGAGGUAACGGCUCACCAAGCCGACGAUCAGUAGCCGACCUGAGAGGGUGACCGGCCACAUUGGGACUGAGACACGGCCCAAACUCCUACGGGAGGCAGCAGUGGGGAAUAUUGCACAAUGGGGGAAACCCUGAUGCAGCGACGCCGCGUGAGCGAUGAAGUAUUUCGGUAUGUAAAGCUCUAUCAGCAGGGAAGAAACUGACGGUACCUGACUAAGAAGCACCGGCUAAAUACGUGCCAGCAGCCGCGGUAAUACGUAUGGUGCAAGCGUUAUCCGGAUUUACUGGGUGUAAAGGGAGCGUAGACGGACUUGCAAGUCUGAAGUGAAAGCCCGGGGCUCAACCCCGGGACUGCUUUGGAAACUGUAGGUCUAGAGUGCUGGAGAGGUAAGUGGAAUUCCUAGUGUAGCGGUGAAAUGCGUAGAUAUUAGGAGGAACACCAGUGGCGAAGGCGGCUUACUGGACAGUAACUGACGUUGAGGCUCGAAAGCGUGGGGAGCAAACAGGAUUAGAUACCCUGGUAGUCCACGCCGUAAACGAUGACUGCUAGGUGUCGGGGAGCAAAGCU
rnacentral:rRNA from 1 species